rnacentral:lncRNA from 1 species
CAAAAAUAUAACUGAUUUGAAUUUUUUCAGACGUUAAGGGGCUGUUUGGCUUAAUGUAAUUAGAAAUGUUGGGUGUGUUUGGUUCGAAGUCGAAAUUGGUAUCAGAAUCAGAAUAAGAAUAAGCUGGAAACAGUUCAUUACCUCAUUCUAUUUGAUUCGCCACCGGAAUCGGAAUCGGAAUAAACCAUUUCCAUUGUCGGUGUUUGUUCGGCUAGAUAUCAAAAAUGUAAUAAAAUUAAUAUAUCAAUUUUAUCUUUUUAAUAUAUUACUUUUAAUUCAACCUGUAAAUUAAAUAUUAGAAAUUUACAUCAAAACUUUAAAAUGAUGUCAAAAUUUUAAAUAUAUAUUUUUAAAAAUUAAAAUUUGAAAUUGAACGGAUAAUUCAAAAUAUAAAACUAAAUUUCAAUUUAUUCAAAUUCGAACUUAAAAUUAUAAUUUAAAUUUCAAUUUUAAUCCAUAAAUUUAAUUUAAAUUUAAAAUAAAAUUUGAAUAAAACUUUAGAUUUUAAAUUAAAUUUAAAUUUAAAUUCAAAUUUAUAAAUUAAAUUCGAAAUGCAUGAUUGAAUUUUAAUUUUAGUUUAAGUUAAAAUUAAAAUUAAAAUUUUAAGUUCAAAUUAAAAUUAAAAUUUAUAAAUAUAAUUUUUAAACUUAAACCUAUGUUUUAAUUAAAAAAUAACCUUAAAAAAAUUAAAGUUAAUCCGAACAAAUUCAUUAUGCCCGGAUUCAAUUUUCAAUCCGGCCUUCUAGGCCAGAUUGGAAAAAGGGGUAA